GAGCAUGGUGACAGGAUAUCGCGAUUUCAAAGGGAGGAAAGCGGAAGCAAGAGAGUAUGAGAGGCAUUGCUCGAUGAUGGAGUGUUAUGGGGAGGAGGGGAUCCUAUUUAUAGAGGAGACCUAGAGUCCUAGGUCUCCGAUUUGAGCUCGAAAUCGCCGGGGAUCGCGGAGGAAAGCAAACUCCCAAUCGGCGGAGGAAAGCAGACACCCA
rnacentral:lncRNA from 1 species